rnacentral:rRNA from 1 species
UAGGGAAUCUUCGGCAAUGGGGGGAACCCUGACCGAGCAACGCCGCGUGAGUGAAGAAGGUUUUCGGAUCGUAAAGCUCUGUUGUUAAGGAAGAACGAGUGUGAGAAUGGAAAGUUCAUACUGUGACGGUACUUAACCAGAAAGGGACGGCUAACUACGUGCCAGCAGCCGCGGUAAUACGUAGGUCCCGAGCGUUGUCCGGAAUUAUUGGGCGUAAAGCGCGCGUAGGCGGUUUUUUAAGUCUGAUGUGAAAGCUCACGGCUCAACCGUGGAGGGUCAUUGGAAACUGGAAAACUUGAGUGCAGAAGAGGAAAGUGGAAUUCCAUGUGUAGCGGUGAAAUGCGCAGAGAUAUGGAGGAACACCAGUGGCGAAGGCGACUUUCUGGUCUGUAACUGACGCUGAUGUGCGAAAGCGUGGGGAUCAAACAGG